rnacentral:lncRNA from 1 species
CAAGUACCCUUCACAUAAGUAUGCAUGAGCCAAUGCCUAAUAUUUUGAAAAUGAGAUCAGACCAAAAGGGCUGGGAAGCUCUUAACUGCAGCCUCCAAUAGAAAGGAUUAAAGAAAGAUGAAGGGAUAACUGCCUGAGGAGAUUGUCACUGCGCGCCCACGGGGAGGAACUCUUCAGUCAAUUCAGAGACUUGCAUAGAAAGGCUUCUAAGAAAUCUGCUUUGGGUUGUGACAAUAUCUUCAGAUUCUUCCCGAGACAGUUCCAAUGGAAGUGAUUCAGUUUCCCGGCGUGGGGCUGGGAGACCGUCCAGGUUACAACAAUGAGGUCAGCACAAUGGCUCCCAGCCCAUGGCUGUCCACGAGGAAUACUGACCACCAGUGCUUCCAGAACGCAGCAAUGGCCACCCCUCUCUGCUACAAGCAGGCUCACAGUCCAGUCUGAGGUAUUGCUUAUUCAAUUUGACAGAUUCAAGCCCCCAUCCAAGCCAACCAUCCAAUGACUGAGCUAAUCCGAGUUAAAUAAUUUGUGCAACUAGGGCAAAAGGCACUUAAAAAACCCACACGGAAUAGAGCAUAAAGAGCAAAAAAAAUUAAAUCAGUUAAUAGGGAUUCUCAACAUCCAUUCCCUAAAUGAUGUCACCUCCAAAUAUUUCCCAGGAAUACUAGUCAACUCCCAAUUAUGGGGUGUUCAGGGCGGACUAGCACCUCUGGUAUGAGAGCAACUGAGUCCUUUUCAUGGCUGUUCAUCUACUUUUAGUGUCCACCUGACACUCAACUGUCACCCGUGGCUCCAAAAAGCUGUAACACAUGUAGUAACCAAACCCUGGUAAAUCAUCUGAGGAGAUAGAUUGAGAGUAACCAAAGGGCCACAAAUCUGUUGAUGAGUUAGAGGAAGGGGUGUCGACACUAAGCAUAGAAAAACUUUCCCCUUGCAGAAUUGGCAAAUGUGAGUUAUUUGUUCCAAUGACCAUGAAGAUGAUGGAAAGAGAUGCUUCCCUUCCCUUCCUUUCCCUUCCCUUCCUUUCCCUUUCCCUUUUCCUUUCCCCUUUCCUUUCUCUUUUCCUUUCCCUUUCCCUUUUUCUUUCCCUUUCCCUUUCCCUUUUUUCCCCCUUUCCCUUUCCCUUCUUCCCUCCUUCCUUCCUACUUUCAUUCUUUCCUCCUCUCUUUCUUUUCCUUCCUUUCUUCCUUCCUUCCCUCUUUCUUUUUUCAAGGACAUUUACCCUAAUGGCACAGGAAAAGCAACAAUUCCCCAAACCAGAGGCACAUUCACCCAUAAAUAUAUAUAGACUAUAGGUUGCUAGGAGUUGCCGUGGAUAGAGUACCGCAGUCAGGAAGACCUUAGUUCAAAUCCAGCCUCAGACAUUUGCAAGCUAUGUGAUCCUGGGCAAGUCACUUCUCUUCUGCCUGCUUCGUUUCUUCAAUUGUAGAGUGGGGAUCAUAAAAAUACCUUUCUAUUUGGGUUGCUAAGAUCAAAUGAGAUAACAUUUGUAAAAUGCUUAACAUAAUGUCUAGCAUAUAGUUGGUGCUUAAUAAAUGCUUAUUCCCUUCUCUUCCCUGAAAAAAAGAGUGAACAUGAAUUUAAAGCAUUAUAAUACUUAGGCAUAUGUGGAGAAAACAGAUGGGACUAAGGCAAUUCACAAUGCUGAAACUAUAGGGGUCUUGUCUUUUGCUUUUCUUUUUUCUGAG